ACUCUCCCUUAUUCAACUUAUGUUCCAGUCCUCUUGAUCAAGCACCCUAGACUCCAGUCUCACACAUGCUCUCCUGACUUAUGCUGGUCCAUGCUGGGAGGAAGUCAGCUGACAUGUCAUGAGGAAAUUCAGGCAACAGAUGGAGAAAUCCUUGAGGUGAAGAACCAAGGCCUCGUGCCAACAGCCACACGAGUGAUUUUAGAAGCAGAUCCUUCAGCCUCAAUCAAGCAACCUACAGA